AUAUGGGUUUGAAUGGAGGAGACUCACCCUCAACAAUGUAAUGAUGGUGAAAUUCUUGGUAGUCUGAUGGCCUGCGAGAAGAAGCUGUCUUGCGUUCUGCUGGUUCGGGUUCU